rnacentral:rRNA from 1 species
UACGUAGGGUGCAAGCGUUGUCCGGAAUUAUUGGGCGUAAAGAGCUCGUAGGCGGUCUGUCGCGUCGGCUGUGAAAACUCGGGGCUCAACCCCGAGCCUGCAGUCGAUACGGGCAGACUAGAGUGCUGUAGGGGAGACUGGAAUUUCUGGUGUAGAGGUGAAAUUCGUAGAUAUCAGGUGGAACACCAGUGGCGAAGGCGGCUUUCUGGACGGUAACUGACGCUGAGACGCGAAAGCGUGGGGAGCAAACAGG